rnacentral:SRP_RNA from 2 species
GCCAGGCAUGAUGGCUCAUGCCUGUAAUCCCAGCACUUUGGGAGGCCGAGGUGGGUGGAUCACCUGAGGUCAGGAGUUCGAGACCAGCCUGGCCAACAUGGUGAAACCCCAUCUCUA